UUCUGAAAGGGUACUACCCAGUGGUGAUAA
rnacentral:piRNA from 1 species